rnacentral:sRNA from 17 species
UGUAAGGCUUUCUAGUAUUCCCCCCUUUUUGAAGUUGACAAUCUGUUGCGGAUUGUCCUUUUUU